rnacentral:tRNA from 1 species
CGGGGUGUAGCGCAGUCCGGUUAGCGCAUCUGCUUUGGGAGCAGAGGGUCGCAGGUUCGAAUCCUGCCACCCCGACAA